rnacentral:rRNA from 1 species
GAUGAACGCUAGCUACAGGCUUAACACAUGCAAGUCGAGGGGUACGAGAGGAAAGCUUGCUUUCCUUGUCGACGACCGGCGCACGGGUGAGUAACGCGUAUCCAACCUGCCCCCAACUAAGGAAUAACCUUGCGAAAGUAAGACUAAUACCUUAUAAUUUCCUCAGAUGUCAUCUGACGAGGAAUAAAGAUUUAUCGGUUGUGGAUGGGGAUGCGUCUGAUUAGCUUGUCGGUGGGGUAACGGCCAAACAAGGCAAAGAUCAGUAGGGGUUCUGAGAGGAAGCUCCCCCACAUUGGAACUGAGACACGGUCCAAACUCCUACGGGAGGCAGCAGUGAGGAAUAUUGGUCAAUGGGCGAAAGCCUGAACCAGCCAAGUAGCGUGCAGGAUGGCGGCCCUAUGGGUUGUAAACUGCUUUUAUACAGGAAUAAAGUUAGCCACGUGUGGUUAUUUGUAGGUACUGUAUGAAUAAGGACCGGCUAAUUCCGUGCCAGCCGCCGCGGUAAAAC